GCGCCUCCUGGACGGGCUUGGCCUGCUCCGCCUUCGGGGCGGGCGCCUGCUCGGCCGCGGGCUGCUGCUCGGGCUCGGCGGCGGCGCCCC
rnacentral:tRNA from 1 species